rnacentral:rRNA from 1 species
GACAGAGGUCCCGAGCGUUAGGCGGAAUCACUGGGCUUAAAGCGUGUGUAGGCGGAUCUGUAAGUACCUUGUGAAAUCCCACGGCUUAACCGUGGAACUGCUCGGUAUACUGCGGAUCUUGAGCCACCUAGGGGCGAGCGGAACAAGUGGUGGAGCGGUGAAAUGCGUAGAUAUCACUUGGAACGCCAAUGGUGAAAACAGCUCGCUGGGGGUGUGCUGACGCUGAGACGCGAAAGCGUGGGGAGCGAACAGG